UUAUAUUCAUUCUUAAUUAUUUUACAUUGUAUUCAAUUUUAUUGUAUUUAAUUAGACCGUAUUCAAUGAAUAAAAAGCACAAUAACCGUGAUAUUAGUUGAAUUCAUCACUGUAUUCAUUCAUAGAUGCUUUUAUACUAUAUUUAAUUCGGUUAUAUUCAGAACAUACAAUUCAAAAAAUACAGGAAUCUGCCCUUGAAAUACAUAAAUAUAGGUGAACGUAAAAAAAAAAACUGAUUUUGCAUUGAGAAAUAUAGAACACACUCAAAGUAGAGUGUAUUUGUAUAUAAUAUAAUGUAUUUGUAUCAUUGUAUAUGAAGCAAUAACAAAGAAGAGAAAAAAAUUAGUCCGAGAUGGCGUCUUCCGUCCAAGAAAAUCACUACCCUCUGUUGUCUUCACUCAUCACCGCCCUCCGCCGUUUCCGUCAAAUCAAAAUCGUUAAACCAGACACAUCACCACCCACUACUAGAUCUAAAAUCACGAAGACUCCAUCCACCGCCUGGAUCUGGAUCUAACGUCGCCAGAUUUGAAUCUAAUGCCGGACUUGGAUGGCUUCCUCGCCGAGAGCGAAGAGAGAAGGAAAAAACAGAGAGUUGAAGGAGAAGAGAGAGAGAGUGGAUUGACAGAAAAGUUGAG
rnacentral:lncRNA from 1 species